GUAAACGAUGAGUGCUAAGUGUUGGAGGGUUUCCGCCCCUUCAGUGCUGCAGCUAAACGCAUUAAGCACUCCGCCUGGGGAGUACGACCGCAAGGUUGAAACUCAAAGGAAUUGACGGGGGCCCGCACAAGCGGUGGAGCAUGUGGUUUAAUUCGAAGCAACGCGAAGAACCUUACCAGGUCUUGACACCCUCUGACAACCCUAGAGAUAGGGCUUUCCCUUCGGGGACAGAGUGACAGGUGGUGCAUGGUUGUCGUCAGCUCGUGUCGUGAGAUGUUGGGUUAAGUCCCGCAACGAGCGCAACCCUUGUCGUUAGUUGCCAUCAUUCAGUUGGGCACUCUAGCGAGACUGCCGGUGACAAACCGGAGGAAGGUGGGGAUGACGUCAAAUCACCAUGCCCCUUAUGACCUGGGCUACACACGUGCUACAAUGGAUGGUACAACGAGCAGCGAACUCGCGAGGGCAAGCGAAUCUCUUAAAGCCGUUCUCAGUUCGGAUUGCAGGCUGCAACUCGCCUGCAUGAAGCCGGAAUCGCUAGUAAUCGUGGAUCAGCAUGCCACGGUGAAUACGUUCCCGGGCCUUGUACACACCGCCCGUCACACCACGAGAGUUUGUAACACCCAAAGUCGGUGCGGUAACCUUUUGGGGCCAGCCGCCUAAGGUGGGAUAGAUGAUUGGGGUG
rnacentral:rRNA from 1 species